GAUGAACGCCGGCGGCGUGCCUAAUACAUGCAAGUCGAGCGAACAGACGAGGAGCUUGCUCCUCUGACGUUAGCGGCGGACGGGUGAGUAACACGUGGAUAACCUACCUAUAAGACUGGGAUAACUUCGGGAAACCGGAGCUAAUACCGGAUAAUAUAUUGAACCGCAUGGUUCAAUAGUGAAAGACGGUUUUGCUGUCACUUAUAGAUGGAUCCGCGCCGCAUUAGCUAGUUGGUAAGGUAACGGCUUACCAAGGCAACGAUGCGUAGCCGACCUGAGAGGGUGAUCGGCCACACUGGAACUGAGACACGGUCCAGACUCCUACGGGAGGCAGCAGUAGGGAAUCUUCCGCAAUGGGCGAAAGCCUGACGGAGCAACGCCGCGUGAAUGAUGAAGGUCUUCGGAUCGUAAAACUCUGUUAUUAGGGAAGAACAAAUGUGUAAGUAACUAUGCACGUCUUGACGGUACCUAAUCAGAAAGCCACGGCUAACUACGUG
rnacentral:rRNA from 1 species